UAUGGGGGGGGCAAGCGUUGUUCGGAAUUACUGGGCGUAAAGGGCUCGUAGGCGGCCAACUAAGUCAGACGUGAAAUCCCUCGGCUUAACCGGGGAACUGCGUCUGAUACUGGAUGGCUUGAGAUUGGGAGAGGGAUGCGGAAUUCCAGGUGUAGCGGUGAAAUGCGUAGAUAUCUGGAGGAACACCGGUGGCGAAGGCGGCAUCCUGGACCAACACUGACGCUGAGGAGCGAAAGCCAGGGGAGCAAACGGG
rnacentral:rRNA from 1 species